rnacentral:lncRNA from 1 species
CCAACUCAAGAUAUGUCCCACAGACCUUCAUUCAUCAUUGAACCCACGUGUACGUGGUAUAGAUUAAUACAUAUGAUAUGGAGUACAUAAUAUAUUUGUAUAUUUGACAACUUAUUUGUUAAGCACAUUGAUGGGUGAAGUAAGCACGAGGUCAACCACUAAAGUAUGCUCUCUCGUGAUGCUCCACUUCACUAACUUCCCACUUAUUAACUAACUAGUAGUCUACUACUGCUGCUGCUAGUAUCUCUUUGUAUUUUUAUGUUAGUGUUUUUCUAGCUGCCAGCACUAUUUCCAGG